CAAGUUUUGAUUUACUAAAUUACUGAUCGGAUCGAUUUUGAUAAGUAACAUUAUAUUUUAUUUCUAUUUCAUGUUUCUCCUCCUUUCCUUGUCUUCUCUUCCUUUUCAUUCUCUUUUCUCUUCUUCCUUCUCUUAAUCCAUCUAAUCUCAAAAAUUAAACAUUAAAAAUCAUAAAAAACAAAUCUAAUAAUCCUCAAAUUCU
rnacentral:lncRNA from 1 species